GUUUCCAUUUCUCUUAACGUUUAGAAGUUAAAUGAAAAAUGGAUUGUGGAUUAUAGCCUGAGCAGAUUUGAGCCUAAAUGUAAUAUAACAGCUUGUGGCAAAUGGAGGUAGCAGGAGAGUAGAGCCAACUAGCCAAAAAUCCCCUGGAAAGGUGAAACUGAAAUCACUCAUUCAUUCAAAAAGUGUUUACUGAGUAGCUUCAAAGAGCAAAUAUUAGGUUAGAUGCAGUGGGUGAUGUAAGGAUGAUUCAGACAACUAUUUCUCAUGGACUUUGCUUACUGAGCCAUCAACACACGGCCACCUUUUUCUAGAUGAAGUAUCCCAUCAUUUGAUUCUGGAUUGAGAACUCUUUGAGAGCAGAGACGAUGGCUUCACCUGAGUAUCCCCAGAGCCUGACGUUAGACAAAAAUCAACUUUCACUGAAGAUUUUUUUUUUUAAUAUGUAGAAGAAGCUCACAUACUUCAGGAAAACCGCAUGAAAAGUACCCAAGAAAUUCAGUGUCCAGAUGUUUCAGAAUCCAGAUGGCCUAAGAAUCCUCUAUCACCCAGAAAGGAGGAAAAUGUGCAUGAAAGUGGAACAUUUAAAAGAAAAAAAUAAUUUAGCUUUGGCUAUGUAAUGACAACAUACAGAGCUUGAGAAAAAGCUUCUUUUCCUAAAGCAGCAACUUAAUAAAAGGCAUGUUAUAGGCUUUAUCAGUAAGCCAAAAUUUCAGCCUUGCCUCUUCUUCCCAUCACCAUUAAGAGGCUUGCAGAGGUCCACACUCUUUAAAGGGCAGACAGCAUGGAAGAACUAUCAUGUACAAUUUGAAGUAGCAGCUAAAAUUGGAAUGGUCACGAGAAAGCCUGUUUCUUUGCAAUUAAAUUGACAAGCUGUCUAUGAUUACCCUAGGGAACUUGGCAGCUGAGUGAUAAAAAGACUGCAGUGUGUUGAAAGGUCUAACGCAACUUACUAGGUGGACAAAGACCACAUCUGCUUAACAUACUGAUUGGGAGAGUUGUGGAAUGUACUUGGCUACAUUAGCUGAGGAGAGAUACUAAGGAUACUUUUUCCUCUCUAAGACCCUGUGCUUAGAACCUGUUGUAGAAACUACCCACAAAUAUUUGGAAGCAUGUAUGAAAAACAGUUUAGCACAAUAUCUGAUGUUAUUCAGCAUGAACCUACCAUUACAAAUCACCAGAAUUGAGCAGAAGUUUAGAAAGAAAUAAUAAUUAAA
rnacentral:lncRNA from 1 species